CUUUACUCCUUUAAUUACCGCUGGCUACGUGGGAACGUCUGAUGGCCUUUCGGAGCUUCUCGCGAAACUUUGCAAGAUUUUCAACGGCAAAGCAUGCGCUUUGGGCUUCUUGACAACUCUAUAUGCCAGCCCGUAUCAGUUGAACGUGACACGACUGCCUGUGUACGUCGGCCACGUGCCCGUGGGAUCAACACUUCAGAAUAUGAAUCAUUACUAUCAGGUA
rnacentral:lncRNA from 1 species